rnacentral:rRNA from 1 species
GACGAACGCUGGCGGCGUGCUUAACACAUGCAAGUCGAGCGAUGAAGUUCCUUCGGGAAUGGAUUAGCGGCGGACGGGUGAGUAACACGUGGGUAACCUGCCUCAUAGAGGGGAAUAGCCUUUCGAAAGGAAGAUUAAUACCGCAUAAGAUUGUAGUUUCGCAUGAAACAGCAAUUAAAGGAGUAAUCCGCUAUGAGAUGGACCCGCGUCGCAUUAGCUAGUUGGGUAGGUAACGGCUCACCAAGGCGACGAUGCGUAGCCGACCUGAGAGGGUGAUCGGCCACAUUGGGACUGAGACACGGCCCAGACUCCUACGGGAGGCAGCAGUGGGGAAUAUUGCACAAUGGGGGAAACCCUGAUGCAGCAACGCCGCGUGAGUGAUGACGGUCUUCGGAUUGUAAAACUCUGUCUUCAGGGACGAUAAUGACGGUACCUGAGGAGGAAGCCACGGCUAACUACGUGCCAGCAGCCGCGGUAAUAC